UUUGUAAGGCUAACUGUUCUGUGAUUGCACACAGCCAGACCAGCAGCCAGAGCACCAUCUGUGCACACAGCUGAUCCAUCCCGCCCAGCUUCGGCACAAAGGAAUGUGUCAGCUCCCGCUUUUCCAGAGCAACUGAAAGCCUCCUUCAUGCUCCACUGAAAUUUUGCUACCAUUCCCUGAAGAUCUAUUCCCUUCACCCUGCACGUCUGGCUGACACAGCCUUCCUUCAGCAAGAAGCUCUUUCUGCAGUGCUGUUUUUGCAGGUUGGAGUGGGGAAGAUUCAACUGCUCUUCAGCAUCACCUCCCUGUCAUGCAAGCUGCAGAAUGAUCAUCUCAGGGUCCUGGGGAAUGGUGCAAUAAAAGCAUGCAAGUCGGAAGAAAAAUAUCCUUUCUCUGUGACUCCCACCUGAAAUCCUGUGUCUUCUACUGUCAACCACAGUACUCUCUCCUUGAUGCUCCUGAACUGCUGCUGCUGAGGCUGUCUUCAGCGUGAUGUGCCCUGUCACACUGUGGCUUUUCCCUGCCAGCAUGAUUUCAAGGGGGGUCAUGGCCCAGAGGCCUUGGUGUGCAUGUGAAUGGUGUUGCUUCAGGGAUUCCCUGGUUAGCAAGACCUGGAGACAUGGAAGCCAUGGAAGUUCAGUUGGGCCUCAGCAACAUAAGAAGAGGGUGUAUGAAGUAAGAUGAGGUAAAGAUCAAUAUCCUGAACCUCUCAAAGGUAAAAAAAAUUUUUGUGACUCUGGGAUUUACAUCACCAAAGAAGGAAUACAGGUUUUGUUACCAAGAGGAAGGAAUAGUCCUCUAGUCAUCGAGACAUUAAAACUAUUAGGCAUUCAGAAACUUGCUGAACCUUUUGACAUGGAAAACAGAUGCUGGACCUCACUGAAAAGAGUCAUUGCAUUUUAGGAACGAUGUGUUCAUACAUUCCCACACUCCAAAUAAUUGGCUUCAGCUUACAGUGCAUUGUGUUUCUUGAUUGCAUCUUUUGUAUGCUGGUCUUUGUGAGACUUCACAGAGGAAACUGCUCUUUCUGUGAGAUGACUUUCUCAGGCAGCCAGACGUACCGUCCUGUGAAUGCCUGUAUCCACAUUUACCCUGAACUCGCCAGUGAGAGCAUCUGGCUUCAUUCCUCUCAGAAGCCCGAGACCAGUGUUUCCACCAGCAGCUCAGCCCCUGAGGUCCUGUAAGUUGGAGGCCACAUCCCUCCUUCAGCUGUCCACUAAGCUGGACACUAAAUGGUGUGAAGAGAUGGUAAAUUGAUCAUUCUUUGUACACAGCAACUGCUGUCAAGAAAUUUGCUGAAAGAGAGGACUUGGAACAACUGACUUCCUGGGGAUUGUUUUUACCUCAAGAG